UGGGGAAUCUUGCGCAAUGGGCGAAAGCCUGACGCAGCGACGCCGCGUGAGCGAUGAAGGCCUUCGGGUCGUAAAGCUCUGUCAGAGGGGAAGAUAAUGACGGACUCA
rnacentral:rRNA from 1 species